UCCAAAGCAGUGUUGGUGUGGCG
rnacentral:siRNA from 1 species